GUUUUCCUAAAUCCCCAGAGGUUUCUAUUCCCUAAAUCCCCAGAGGUUUCUAUUCCCUAAAUCCCCAGAGGUUUCUAUUCCCUAAAUCCCCAGAGGUUUCUAUUCCCUAAAUCCCCAGAGGUUUCUAUUCCCUAAAUCCCCAGAGGUUUCUAUUCCCUAAAUCCCCAGAGGUUUCUAUUCCCUAAAUCCCCAGAGGUUUCUAUUCCCUAAAUCCCCAGAGGUUUCUAUUCCCUAAAUCCCCAGAGGUUUCUAUUCCCUAAAUCCCCAGAGGUUUCUAUUCCCUAAAUCCCCAGAGGUUUCUAUUCCCUAAAUCCCCAGAGGUUUCUAUUCCCUAAAUCCCCAGAGGUUUCUAUUCCCUAAAUCCCCAGAGGUUUCUAUUCCCUAAAUCCCCAGAGGUUUCUAUUCCCUAAAUCCCCAGAGGUUUCUAUUCCCUAAAUCCCCAGAGGUUUCUAUUCCCUAAAUCCCCAGAGGUUUCUAUUCCCUAAAUCCCCAGAGGUUUCUAUUCCCUAAAUCCCCAGAG